rnacentral:lncRNA from 1 species
AUUUGAUGUGACUGAGUAUGUCAGGAUGAUCGAGCAGUUUGCUGUCUUGUUUUCAGAAGACGCUCGAGGACGAGCGUAUGUCAGCAUGGCCGUGACGGCGCCACCGUCGAUGUGUCAACCGUCGAUCUGUCAACGGUGGACCUUAUAUAAAGCGGCGCACGACUCGGGUCAUUCGUUCGCCGACCGUUGCCGAGUGCACACCUCCCACAAAUUUGUGAUAAAUAAUUGUAGUGACUAAUAUUGUGUUAAUUGGAAUAAACCAAGUGAUUGUAAGACGCUCGAGGACGAGCGUAUGUCAGCAUGGCCGUGACGGCGCCACCGUCGAUGUGUCAACCGUCGAUCUGUCAACGGUGGACCUUAUAUAAAGCGGCGCACGACUCGGGUCAUUCGUUCGCCGACCGUUGCCGAGUGCACACCUCCCACAAAUUUGUGAUAAAUAAUUGUAGUGACUAAUAUUGUGUUAAUUGGAAUAAACCAAGUGAUUGUAAGACGCUCGAGGACGAGCGUAUGUCAGCAUGGCCGUGACGGCGCCACCGUCGAUGUGUCAACCGUCGAUCUGUCAACGGUGGACCUUAUAUAAAGCGGCGCACGACUCGGGUCAUUCGUUCGCCGACCGUUGCCGAGUGCACACCUCCCACAAAUUUGUGAUAAAUAAUUGUAGUGACUAAUAUUGUGUUAAUUGGAAUAAACCAAGUGAUUGUAAGACGCUCGAGGACGAGCGUAUGUCAGCAUGGCCGUGACGGCGCCACCGUCGAUGUGUCAACCGUCGAUCUGUCAACGGUGGACCUUAUAUAAAGCGGCGCACGACUCGGGUCAUUCGUUCGCCGACCGUUGCCGAGUGCACACCUCCCACAAAUUUGUGAUAAAUAAUUGUAGUGACUAAUAUUGUGUUAAUUGGAAUAAACCAAGUGAUUGUAAGACGCUCGAGGACGAGCGUAUGUCAGCAUGGCCGUGACGGCGCCACCGUCGAUGUGUCAACCGUCGAUCUGUCAACGGUGGACCUUAUAUAAAGCGGCGCACGACUCGGGUCAUUCGUUCGCCGACCGUUGCCGAGUGCACACCUCCCACAAAUUUGUGAUAAAUAAUUGUAGUGACUAAUAUUGUGUUAAUUGGAAUAAACCAAGUGAUUGUGUGAGAA